AAACCAACAGGGAUUGCCUUAGUAACGGCGAGUGAAGCGGCAAAAGCUCAAAUUUGAAAUCUAGUGCCUUUGGUACUCGAGUUGUAAUUUGAAGAAUUUUUCUCCGAACAGUCCUUUAUCUAUGUUCCUUGGAACAGGACGUCAUAGAGGGUGAGAAUCCCGUGUGAUUUUGGAUACUGUUCAUUGUGAGAUUUAUUCGAAGAGUCGAGUUGUUUGGGAAUGCAGCUCUAAGUGGGUGGUAAGUUCCAUCUAAAGCUAAAUAUUGGCAAGAGACCGAUAGCGAACAAGUACAGUGAUGGAAAGAUGAAAAGAACUCUGAAGAGAGGGUGAAAAAGUACGUGAAAUUGCUGAAAGGGAAGGGCUUUAGGUCAGACUUGGUGUUUAAUACUCAGUUCUCCUUGUGGGAGCUGCUCUUGUUUUUCACUGGGCCAAUAUCAGUUUUGGCGAUAGAGCACCUCUGGAAAUGUGGCUACCUUCGGGUAGUGUUAUAGUCUAGGGACGAUCUAUUGCUGGGACUGAGGUCUGCGCUUUUGCUAGGAUAUUGGCAUAAUGACCUUAAGCCGC
rnacentral:rRNA from 2 species